GACGAACGCUGGUGGCGUGCUUAACACAUGCAAGUCGAACGGGAUUUAGUAAACAGAAGCCUCGGUGGAAGAUUACUAAUGAGAGUGGCGAACGGGUGAGUAACGCGUGAGCAACCUGCCUAUGACAGUGGGAUAGCCUCGGGAAACCGGGAUUAAUACCGCAUAAAAUCGUAGAAACACAUGUUUUAACGGUCAAAGAUUUAUCGGUCAUAGAUGGGCUCGCGUCUGAUUAGCUAGUUGGUGAGAUAACAGCCCACCAAGGCGACGAUCAGUAGCCGGUCUGAGAGGAUGAACGGCCACAUUGGAACUGAGACACGGUCCAAACUCCUAUGGGAGGCAGCAGUGGGGAAUAUUGCACAAUGGGGGAAACCCUGAUGCAGCGACGCCGCGUGAACGAAGAAGGUAUUCGUAUCGUAAAGUUCUGUCCUAUGGGAAGAUAAUGACAGUACCAUAGAAGAAAGCUCCGGCUAAAUACGUG
rnacentral:rRNA from 1 species